UACGUAGGGGGCUAGCGUUGUCCGGAUUUAUUGGGCGUAAAGAGCUCGUAGGUGGUUCGGUAAGUCGGAUGUGAAAUCUCCAGGCUCAACCUGGAGGGGUCAUUCGAUACUGCCGUGACUAGAGUUCGGUAGAGGAGUGUGGAAUUCCUGGUGGAGUGGUGAAAUGCGCAGAGAUCAGGAGGAACACCCGUAGCGAAGGCGGCACUCUGGGCCGAUACUGACACUGAGAGACGAAAGCUAGGGGAGCGAAUGGG
rnacentral:rRNA from 1 species